GACGAACGCUGGCGGCGUGCCUAAUACAUGCAAGUCGAGCGAGACUCUUCGGAGUCUAGCGGCGGACGGGUGAGUAACACGUGGGCAACCUGCCUGUAAGACUGGGAUAACACCGGGAAACCGGUGCUAAUACCGGAUAAUCCUUUUCCUCUCAUGAGGAAAAGCUGAAAGUCGGUUUCGGCUGACACUUACAGAUGGGCCCGCGGCGCGUUAGCUAGUUGGUGAGGUAACGGCUCACCAAGGCGACGAUGCGUAGCCGACCUGAAAGGGUGAUCGGCCACACUGGGACUGAGACACGGCCCAGACUCCUACGGGAGGCAGCAGUAGGGAAUCUUCCACAAUGGACGAAAGUCUGAUGGAGCAACGCCGCGUGAGCGAUGAAGGCCUUCGGGUCGUAAAGCUCUGUUGUUAGGGAAGAACAAGUACCGGAGUAACUGCCGGUACCUUGACGGUACCUAACCAGAAAGCCACGGCUAACUACGUGCCAGCCGCCGCGGUAAUAC
rnacentral:rRNA from 1 species